rnacentral:lncRNA from 1 species
UCAGGUUAAUUCUCACUUUCUUGGUUUGCUUUAUUGUACUUGAAUUUGCUGCUCUGUAUCUGUUGCAGGGUCUAAGAAGUUCUUCUGAACUGAGUCCCUGAAAAGUCAGGGAUCAUUGCAAGAAAUAUUUCUGAAACAAGAUGGGAAGAGAAAUCAGAGAACAGUGGUAAGGAAAGGGAAGAUGAAGAAAUUAGCCACAAGGGAAAAAAACCCUGGAAGAUAUGUUGACCACAACUACAUUAAGAAAGCUGGUA